ensembl:lncRNA
UUUGGACCGACAACAAAUAUGGCUGCGGGGAUUCCCCCAAGGGCAUAAGGCGAGGAUCAAUGCUAGUUCCUGUGCUGAGGCAGUGGAAAUACAAUCAUUGGACUUGAGGUCAGGACUAAGGACAUCUGUCUGAGCCUUCAGAAGGGACGAGGGAGCUGGUGGGGGGUUGACCGCUGUCAUAAAUUAAAGGAGAGGAGAUCCAGAGAACAUCCCUCUCCAAAUUAACACCUUUGUCUCCAGAGAUUUUUCCCGCUGAAACUCUAACAUGUUCUAAAGCGAAUACUGGAAAAAUAUUCCUAACACGGGGAGAGGUCUAGAGUAAGUAGCCACACCCCGAGUGAGGUCAGAGAGCGUGUCAGCCUGAUCG